AUUGAACGCUGGCGGCAGGCCUAACACAUGCAAGUCGAGCGGACGAAUGGAGCUUUCUCCUGUAUUCAGCUACCGACGGGUGAGUAAUUCCUACGAAGCUGCCUGAUCGUUGAGGAUAACGUCCCUUCACGGGCCCUAAUACCGCAUCCGUCAAGAUAUUGAAAGUGAUGGAUCUUCAGAGCUCACGCGAUCUGAUGAGCCUAGGUCGGAUUAGCUAGUUGGUUGGGUAAAGGCUUACCAAGGCGACGAUCCGUAACUGGCCUGAGAGGAUGAUCAGUCACACUGGAACUGAGACACGGUCCAGACUCCUACGGGAGGCAGCAGUGGGGAAUCUUCGACAAAGGGCGAAAGCCUGAUGGAGCAAUGCCGCGUGAGUGAAGAAGGUCUUCGGAUUGUAAAACACUUUUAGUUGGGAAGAACAAAAGUAUGAUUAACUAUUCACGUCUUGACGGUACCAAAAGAGAAAGCCACGGCUAACUACGUG
rnacentral:rRNA from 1 species